GACGAACGCUGGCGGCGUGCCUAAUACAUGCAAGUCGAACGCAUUUUCUUUCACCGUAGCUUGCUACACCGAAAGAAAAUGAGUGGCGAACGGGUGAGUAACACGUGGGUAACCUGCCCAUCAGCGGGGGAUAACACUUGGAAACAGGUGCUAAUACCGCAUAAUUCCAUUUACCGCAUGGUAGAUGGAUGAAAGGCGCUUUUGCGUCACUGAUGGAUGGACCCGCGGUGCAUUAGCUAGUUGGUGGGGUAACGGCCUACCAAGGCUGCGAUGCAUAGCCGACCUGAGAGGGUGAUCGGCCACACUGGGACUGGGACACGGCCCAGACUCCUACGGGAGGCAGCAGUAGGGAAUCUUCGGCAAUGGACACAAGUCUGACCGAGCAACGCCGCGUGAGUGAAGAAGGUUUUCGGAUCGUAAAACUCUGUUGUUAGAGAAGAACAAGGAUGAGGGUGGAAAGUUCAUCCCUUGACGGUAUCUAACCAGAAAGCCACGGCUAACUACGUG
rnacentral:rRNA from 1 species